rnacentral:rRNA from 1 species
CCUACGGGAGGCAGCAGUGGGGAAUUUUGGACAAUGGGCGCAAGCCUGAUCCAGCCAUGCCGCGUGUGGGAAGAAGGCCUUCGGGUUGUAAACCACUUUUGUCAGGGAAGAAACGGUCUGAACUAAUACUUUGGACUAAUGACGGUACCUGAAGAAUAAGCACCGGCUAACUACGUGCCAGCAGCCGCGGUAAUACGUAGGGUGCAAGUGUUAAUCGGAAUUACUGGGCGUAAAGCGUGCGCAGGCGGCUUUGCAAGACAGAUGUGAAAUCCCCGGGCUCAACCUGGGAACUGCAUUUGUGACUGCAUGGCUAGAGUACGGUAGAGGGGGAUGGAAUUCCGCGUGUAGCAGUGAAAUGCGUAGAUAUGCGGAGGAACACCGAUGGCGAAGGCAAUCCCCUGGACCUGUACUGACGCUCAUGCACGAAAGCGUGGGGAGCAAACAGGAUUAGAUACCCUGGUAGUCCACGCCCUAAACGAUGUCAACUGGUUGUUGGGAGGGUUUCUUCUCAGUAACGAAGCUAACGCGUGAAGUUGACCGCCUGGGGAGUACGGCCGCAAGGUUGAAACUUAAAGGAAUUGACGG